UUCCUGGCAGUAGUGCUGGCCUUAUAUAUAUGUUGGAGUUCCUUUAAACCAUUGAGCACCAGUGCUCUCCCCUUGACAAGUUAGACGGAGUAAAGUAGUAAAGUAGGGCAGGACACAAUUUUAAUAUGGGUUAACUUCGGUAUCAUACUGGCCCCUUGUGUGUGUUAUAAAUUCUAUUCGCAAGAUUAUUCCUUUGCUGGUAUUAAAAUGGAACUGUAUACAGUACUUUUGUUUCAAAUUUUUAUUUGUAUACAUAUGUGUGAACAUUGCUAUUGGUUGUUUCAUCUUUUCUCUCUUUUUCUUUCAAACAAUCCAACUAUGGAAGCUUUUUCCAGAGGAAAGUCAAUGCGUGACGCACAUUAUGCAAGACCUUCCUCGCUUGGUUGACCACAAAUCAACCUUCCCUUAAAAACUUCCCUCGCAUUCGUACAUUCCACCUUAUUUACUAAAAUGCUCUUUUCAAUUUGUUUUCCUGUUAUUCAAAUAUUCAACAGUGUGUUAGGUAUGGG